UCCACGAUGGUGUAAUGGCUAACAUCGCUGUCUUUCACACAGCAGCUCGGGGUUCGAUUGUUGUGGAA
rnacentral:tRNA from 1 species